UACGUAGGGUGCGAGCGUUGUCCGGAAUUAUUGGGCGUAAAGAGCUUGUAGGCGGUUUGUCGCGUCUGCUGUGAAAUCUCAAGGCUCAACCUUGAGCUUGCGGUGGGUACGGGCAGACUAGAGUGUGGUAGGGGAGACUGGAAUUCCUGGUGUAGCGGUGAAAUGCGCAGAUAUCAGGAGGAACACCGAUGGCGAAGGCAGGUCUCUGGGCCACUACUGACGCUGAGAAGCGAAAGCGUGGGGAGCGAACAGG
rnacentral:rRNA from 1 species